AUAAUAAUUAUUUUAAAUAUUAAAAAAUUCAAACAUGUUUAUUAAUAUUAUUUUUAAAUUAUUUAUCGUUGUUUAAAGAAUAAAUUUAUCAUAAUUUUAAAAUAAUUUACAGAAUGUUAUAAAUUAGUAAUAAAAUUAAAUUUACUUUAUAUUGAAUAUUUGUUUAUUGUUAAAUAUUUUUUAGAAUUUCUUUUUGAUUUAUUUUUUCCAUCGACACUACUAAAAAGGAAAGCCCUCUAAAUACUUACCUUAUUUUGUAAUUUCGAUAUAUCAUUUAAUUCAUCGAUCCCACUAUAAUAGGAAAGUACCAUUGAAUACUAAUUGCAAGGGAAAACAUAAUUUAAUGACCAAUUAACAUCACUUUUCAAAUGACUUACAUAAUAUUAUUAAUAACUAUUUAUGGUAACUAAUUGUCGAAAGUAUGGUAUAUAAAUCCAUUUUAUUAAUUCAAAUAAAUAUUUUGGAUUCCAAAUGACUUACAUAAUAUUAUUAAUAACUAUUUAUGCUAACUAAUUGUCGAAAGUAUGGUAUAUAAAGUCAUUUUAUCAAUUCAAGUAAAUAUUUUGGUUUAUUAUUUUAUGUAGUCUAUAGAUAUAUUUGAAUAUAAAGUCAUUUUAUCAAAUCAAAUAAUUUAUUUUAAUUCAUCGAUCCUCUAUAAAAGGAAAGUAACAUUGAAUACUGAUUGAAAAGGAAAAAAUAAUUUAAUCUCUCUAUUAACAUUACUUGCACAACAAUAUUAGUUAAUACAUGUAAUAAUUAGUUUCCUUAUUACAAAUGAAAAGAAUUCUCUUGAUUUUGUUGAUUGAUUUUUUAGAAUUUCUUUUUCGAUUUAUUUUAAUCAUCGACACUACUAAAAAUGAAAUCACUUUAAUACUUAACUUUUGUGUUUUCUCGAUUCAAAGAACAUCUUUUUGUGAUCAUUUCUCUGUUUAAUUCAUUAAAUACUCACUAAAUAUUUUAGAUGUUAGAGAAACGAAAUUAAUUGACAAGAUAUUUUCUCUCCUAAAAUCAUGCAUUUAAAACUUAAUAUUUAUGGUGAGACUUGUCAACCAAAAUUCUGGUGCACUCUAUUCACGAGAUGUUCUCCUUUAGCUUUAUUAACAAGAUAUUCCAAAAAUAAUAUUACCUUAUAAGUAUAAGAUUUAUUGAGAAUUUAUUAAAGAAUAUUCUACUUCUUAGCUUAUCAUGCAAGCUAAAUCAAUGAGAAACGUCUACCAAUUUACUAUAAAUAAGACAUUCACAGUAGAAGAAAUGAAAUAAUUGAAUUUUGUAUUCUGAACUUUUAAUGUUAAUAAUGUUCUGAACUUUUUUUUCUUCUUAUUUUAGAACAUUAAGCUUUUAUAUUUCAUGAGAGCUGAUUUUUCUUUUGGUUUAUAUGCAGAUACCCUAUUAUGACGAUUUCUCCACUGAAGCUACAUAUGAUUUGAUUGUACACCUCUUUGAUAUAUCAUUUCGAUAACAUCUUUGUUCCUCAAUCUGAGAUGAUUUGAGAGAAGUGGUCAUAUUUCAGACCUCUAAGAGUUCACCAUUCCGAUCAUGCAAAAGAUGUGCACUUAGAAUGGUAUUUUCUCUACUGUACAUCAAAAUUGGAUAAUCAAUUAUAUUUUUAAAAUAUCUAUUGUAGGAUGGUAUUUUCUCUACUGAAAUAAUAUCUUAUUUCCUAAUCUCAUGCUUUAAUAUUUAAACUUUAAGGACAAGAUUUGUUAAUUAAAUCAUUAGUGUAAACUACUCCCGAGAUAUUCUCUUUUUUAUAUUUAAAAUGUAAUUUUAGUAACAAUAUAUUCCAUAAAUAAUCCUAACUUAUAGGUAGAUACAUUUUUAAAAUUAUUUUGAGAACAUUCUAUUACAUAGCUUAUUGUGAAAGCUAAAUAUUUUAGUAAAGUCUAGCAUUUUACUUAUCUUUUGUGUUUUCUCGAUUCAAAUAACAUCUUUUGAGAUCAUUUCUCUGUUUAAUUCAUUAAAUACUCACUAAAUAUUUUAGAUGUCAGAGAAACGAAAUUAAUUGACAAGAUAUUUUCUCUCCUAAAAUCAUGCAUUUAAAACUUAAUAUUUAUGGUGAGACUUGUCAACCAAAAUUCUGGUGCAAUCUAUUCACGAGAUGUUCUCAUUUAGCUUUAUUAACAAGAUAUUCCAAAAAUAAUAUUACCUUAUAAGUAUAAGAUUUAUUGAGAAUUUAUUAAAGAAUAUUCUACUUCUUAGCUUAUCAUGUUUUUAUCAAAAGAAAACAUCAGUAGAUCAAAUUAAUUUUUACAUGUUCUUUCAGGCUUGAGUUUAUCAGAAGAUCAAAUUAAGAAUUUAUCUUUGGCGGAGAUUGAAUCAAUCAUGCGUUUGAACGGAAGCUCAUUUACAUUGUUUAAGUUUUGAAACGUGUUAUCAAUAGUAUACUCUUCUAUUGGUUAAGAUGUGGCUUUUGUUAGAUUUUCUAUUAAUUAAUUUUUUUUGUUUUACUUUUGUGGAAUUCGCGAUAUUGUAAUGUUGUAAAUCAAUAAUAAAGACAUUUUUAUCACUAUUAAUAGGUGAGAGAGAGAGGGAGGGGGAGAGAGGGAGGGAGAGGGAGGGACGGGAGAGAGAGAGAGGGAGGGAGAGGGAGGGAGGGAGGGAGGAGGAGGAGAGGGGAGAGAGAGUGGGAGAGAGGGAGAGAGAGGAGAGAGAGAGAGAGAGAUUAGUGUUUACGGUAUAUCUAAAAGUUUUGAGUUUAUUGUUUAUGAUUUAUCCGGUAAAGCCAAAGGGUUAGAGUAUACUCAAGGGUUUAAGGUUUACCAAGAGUUUAGAGUUUAAAAAUUAAUGAAUGUAAUUUGUAUAUUUUACAAUAAAAAAUAAAAACUAACAGCAAAGUAGAUUGCAUUAUAUCUUGAAUUAAAUAAUGUUAAGAAGAUUUAUAGUUUUCAACCACAAAUAAUGAAUCAUAACUAUGUGAUUAUUAUACCUAUAAUAUAUAUUAUGCAUAUACAUGUCAUUGUAUGUAAAAAUUAACUAACCAUGUAAAAUUAAACUAAUGAUAAUAUUAAUAUCCGCAUAUGCAAUAAAAUAUCCGCAUAUGCGAUAAAAUAUCCGCAUAUGCGAUAAAAUAUCCGCAUAUGCGAUACAAUAUCCGCAGUCACUCCAUAGAGAGCUGGAUAUUUAAUCGCCGAGUUAAUUGUUUUGAUAAGCUGACAGAGUCUGAUUCGAAAAUCACCGACUGCAAUUUGUAUCUUCUCUCUGCUCAACCCAUUUCUAACAUUAUUUAUUCCAUAUUUAUUACAUAUUUUGAACUUUUUAUUCCAUAUUUUGAAUUUUUUAUGUCCUUAAUUACAUUCUGAAAUGGUAAAAGAGGGUUUCAAUGGGAAUGUAGCGAUAAUAUAAAAUAUGUUACCUCUGAAACUAUACACUAUUUAUUCCAGAUUUUGAAAAUAAAAUAUCUUCUUAAACAUACAAAUUAUUUUGGAACGUUGCCAUUAUACGUACACACAAUAAAUACCUCUUGAUACUGAAGUUACUUUGUUCCAUCUCGUCCAUGUAAAAUCUUGAGUACCAACAUUUUUUUGUACCUGAUGCUUUCUCCCAAGGGCGGUGGUAUUAUUAUGAUAUAAAAUUCGUUACUUAUAAAACUAUGUACUACUUAGUUAAUAAUUUGAAUAUGUUUAUGUCCGCACAGGGUGCGGGCCGGCCACCUAGUUGUCUAUAAAUCACCAUUAUACUAAAAUUUUAUAUCUUUGUUUUUUUAUUCACUACUACAUAGCGAAGGCAGGAUAUUUCUUGCUGCUCACGUUUUUUUCCCUCCUGAACAACUACUUCAAGAAUCCCAAUUCUUCUUCAUUGGAACCAUUUCAAUCUUCUCAGCGUUCGAUUUCACUUGCUCGCAUACAAUCAAGGCAUUUUGAUUGGUACUACCAUCAUGAUUAACUCAAUUAUAUUAUUCUCAAGACGACUUCUCAUGUCUCGUUGAGCUUAUCACUUCUUAUCUUCAGCUUUGUAUGAAGAUCUUAUUCCGUAGUUUUCUAUGUUUCCAUGUCAUCCUAACAUUUUUUUCUUUCUCCCAAUGUUUUGAGCUCUAUUUCAAAACUUCUACUAUUUUCAUUUGCUUUCCCAAAAUUACUCUCAGUUCUUGUCUGUCAUCAGUUUUUAUUUUAUCCACCUCAUAUGCUGUUGUUAGACCUAUAUGUCUCUUCUUGCUGCCAACUGCACUCAUACUUGUUCAACCCUUGGGAUCUUCUACUGCUAGGAUCAACCAAAGAAACUCCCAUGACAUACCCAAAACGUAAUAUUAACAUUGAUCUAAAUACAGAUGGUGAUGAGAAAAUGAAGAAAAGAAGAAACAUAGAAGUUAAGUCGAAAGCAUAUAACAACUUUUUCAUUACCUUUCAUGUUUUUGUUUACGUAGGAAACACGAUCAAUCCAAGUAAAUAUGUUAGAAGCCAGAAAUUAAAGUACUCUUGAAAGCUCUCUAGUACAGCUUUUCCAACAUCCUGUGAAAAAACAUCAAUAAAACUACUCUGAUUAGUACUUACUGCAAUCAAACUCAAUGAUUUUUCUUUUUCCUUGUUUCUCUUUAAUACCCCUCUGUCUCACAAAGAAGAGGAAGCAGAGUUGCAAUGGCGUCCGCAGCUUCACUCUCUACGUUCUUCACUUUUCUACGGAAUCCAACAUCAUAAGCUCAUCUCCCACACCCAAACCCACAAAACCCUCCUUUCCCUUCUCCUUUAAAAACCACCCAGAUCACUCGAUCAUCUCUGCUAAUCAAAGACAAACCAAAAAUUAUUCCUUUACAGACAGCUAAUCUUAAUAUUAUUGUUUAUCAUGUGGCUUCUCACCUUAAUACUUACUAAAUAACUAAACCACCGUCAAUAGAAACUCGGAUUAGAAAAGACUGACGUCUGACACAUCAAACAACCAAAUGCACAUAUCAAGAUUAGCAAUGUCCUUACUUUGAGAUCUUUAGGCGAGCAGUGCUCGCUCAGAAGACACGAAGUAGCUCCUCAUGCUCUUCUGUUGAAUGGAAGGGCAUGAAAACAUCCAACGCUGACACUGCACUUUCUCCUCCAGAGACAGGUUUCUUUCUAUCAUGAAUUCCUUUCUAUAUUUCUUGUCACCAAGACUGCCGAAAUUAAAAUCUUUGAUAUUUUCUCAGCCCAUAACACAAUAUCAAUCAAGGAAUAUAUCAAAAGAAUGACAAUGAAUAUUUCAUAGUUUGGUUUUCUUUGCAUGAUAAACAAUUAUGGCUAAAUUAACUAACGAUGAAGAAGACAUAUAUGUUAAAAUUAUAUGAGUCGAAUGAUUCAAAUACCAU